rnacentral:rRNA from 1 species
CCCUUAGACGUUCUGGGCCGCACGCGCGCUACACUGACACAGGCAACGAGCUUUCCUUUACCGAAAGGUAUGGGUAAUCUUUUGAAACUGUGUCGUGCUGGGGAUAGAUCCUUGCAAUUUUUGAUCUUAAACGAGGAAUUCCUAGUAAGCGCGAGUCAUCAACUCGCGUUGAUUACGUCCCUGCCCUUUGUGCACACCGCCCGUCGCUACUACCGAUUGAAUGGCUUAGUGAGGCCUCAGGAUCCGCGCUUAAUGUGUGGAGAAUUUGGACAAACUACGUCAUUUAGAGGAAGUAAAAGUCGUAACA